GACGAACGCUGGCGGCGUGCUUAACACAUGCAAGUCGAACGGAAAGGCCCUGCUUUUGUGCGUUUCUCGAUUGACGAACGGGUGAGUAACACGUGUGUAUCCUGCCCUUGUCUUUGGGAUAACUUCAGGAAACUGGGGCUAAUAUCGCAUAUGAUCUCCUGCUGCAUGUUGUGGGUUGGAAAGUUUCGGCGGUUGGGGAUGGACUCGCGGCUUAUCAGCUUGUUUGUGGGGUAGUGGCUUACCAAGGCUUUGACGGGUAGCCGGCCUGAGAGGGUGACCGGCGACAAGGGGACUGAGAGAGGGCCCAGAAGCGUACGGGAGGCAGCAGGGGGGAAUAUUGCACAGUGGGCGGAAGCCGGAGGCAGCAACGCCGCGUGCGGGAUGACGGCCUUCGGGUUAUAAACAGAUUUCGACUGAGACGAAGCGUGAGUGACGGUAAUGGGUAAAGAAGCACCGGCUAACUACGUG
rnacentral:rRNA from 1 species